rnacentral:rRNA from 1 species
UGCGCAGGCGGUUCGCUGUGUCCGAUGUGAAAGCCCCGGGCUCAACCUGGGAAUGGCAUGGGAAACUGGCGGGCUGGAGUGUGGCAGAGGGGGGUGGAAUUCCGCGUGUAGCAGUGAAAUGCGUAGAGAUGCGGAGGAACACCGAUGGCGAAGGCAGCCCCCUGGGCCAACACUGACGCUCAGGCACGAAAGCGUGGGGAGCAAACAGGAUUAGAUACCCUGGUAGUCCACGCCCUAAACGAUGUCGACUGGGUGUUGGGGAAGCGAUUCCUUGGUACCGAAGCUAACGCGUGAAGUCGACCGCCUGGGGAGUACGGCCGCAAGGUUAAA